rnacentral:tRNA from 1 species
GCCGAGGUUUCCCAGCCUGGUAAGGAGCUGGAUUGCUAAUCCAGUGUGCUUUGCACGCGAGAGUUCAAAUCUCUCCCUCGGCGCCA